rnacentral:rRNA from 1 species
UCCGGAUUUACUGGGUGUAAAGGGCGCGUAGGCGGGAUAGCAAGUCAGUCGUGAAAUACCGAGGCUCAACCUCGGGGCUGCGAUUGAAACUGUUAUUCUUGAGUAUCGGAGAGGAAAGCGGAAUUCCUAGUGUAGCGGUGAAAUGCGUAGAUAUUAGGAGGAACACCAGUGGCGAAGGCGGCUUUCUGGACGACAACUGACGCUGAGGCGCGAAAGUGUGGGGAGCAAACAGGAUUAGAUACCCUGGUAGUCCACACCGUAAACGAUGGAUACUAGGUGUAGGAGGUAUCGACCCCUUCUGUGCCGCAGUUAACACAAUAAGUAUCCCACCUGGGGAGUACGACCGCAAGGUUGAAACUCAAAGGAAUUGACGGGGGCCCGCACAAGCAGUGGAGUAUGUGGUUUAAUUCGAAGCAACGCGAAGAACCUUACCUGGGCUUGACAUCCCGACGACCGCUCUAGAGAUAGAGUUUUUCUUCGGAACGUCGGUGACAGGUGGUGCAUGGUUGUCGUCAGCUCGUGUCGUGAGAUGUUGGGUUAAGUCCCGCAACGAGCGCAACCCCUGUUGUCAGUUGCCAUCAUUAAGUUGGGCACUCUGACGAGACUGCCGGUGACAAAUCGGAGGAAGGUGGGGACGACGUCAAAUCAUCAUGCCCCUUAUGCCCAGGGCUACACACGUACUACAAUGGCCGGUAACAAAGUGCAGCGAUACCGUGAGGUGGAGCGAAUCACAAAACCCGGUCUCAGUUCAGAUUGCAGGCUGCAACUCGCCUGCAUGAAGUUGGAAUUGCUAGUAAUCGCGAAUCAGAAUGUCGCGGUGAAUACGUUCCCGGGCCUUGCACACACCGCCCGU